rnacentral:rRNA from 1 species
AGUGAACGCUGGCGGUAGGCCUAACACAUGCAAGUCGAACGGCAGCACAGUAAGAGCUUGCUCUUACGGGUGGCGAGUGGCGGACGGGUGAGGAAUACAUCGGAAUCUACUUUUUCGUGGGGGAUAACGUAGGGAAACUUACGCUAAUACCGCAUACGACCUACGGGUGAAAGCAGGGGAUCUUCGGACCUUGCGCGAUUGAAUGAGCCGAUGUCGGAUUAGCUAGUUGGCGGGGUAAAGGCCCACCAAGGCGACGAUCCGUAGCUGGUCUGAGAGGAUGAUCAGCCACACUGGAACUGAGACACGGUCCAGACUCCUACGGGAGGCAGCAGUGGGGAAUAUUGGACAAUGGGCGCAAGCCUGAUCCAGCCAUACCUCGUGGGUGAAGAAGGCCUUCGGGUUGUAAAGCCCUAUUGUUGGGAAAGAAAAGCAGCAGGUUAAUACCCCGCUGUUCUGACGGUACCCAAAGAAUACGCACCGGCUAACUUCGUG